UACCCGCAGCACAAGUGGUGGUCAUUAUUAUUGGGCCUAAAGCGUCCGUAGCUGGCUUGUUAGAUGCCUGGGUAAAUCGAUGCGCUCAACGUAUCGAAUUCCGGGUAGACCGGCAAGCUUGGGACCGGGAGAGGCGUGAGCUACUCGGGGGGUAGGGGUAAAAUCCUGUAAUCCUCCGGGGAGGACCAGUGGCGAAGGCGUCACGCUAGAACGGCUCCGACAGUGAGGGACGAAGCCCUGGGGCGCAAACCGG
rnacentral:rRNA from 1 species